CCGGUCGCAGCCCUGCGCCCGUCGUCGUCGUCGGCCUUCCUUGGCCACUCUAGCCGCCUCGGCCGCACUGCUACCGCGUCGCCGACGAGGCGGAGCCUCAAGGCGGAGGCCAAGGGCGAGUGGCUCCCGGGCCUUCCCUCCCCCGCCUACCUCGACGGCAGGUCAGUAGUGUUUCUUUUCCUGAUUAACUCUGGCCAGCGACGCCGACUGACGCACCCAUGGCCAUGUCAGCCUGCCGGGUGACAAUGGCUUCGACCCGUUGGGCCUGGCGGAGGACCCGGAGAACCUGAGGUGGUACGUGCAGGCGGAGCUGGUGAACGGGCGGUGGGCGAUGCUGGGCGUGGCCGGGAUGCUGAUCCCGGAGGUGCUGACCAAGGCCGGGCUGAUCAACGCGCCGCAGUGGUACGACGCCGGCAAGUCGGAGUACUUCGCGUCGUCGUCGACGCUGUUCGUGAUCGAGUUCAUCCUGUUUCACUACGUGGAGAUCCGGCGGUGGCAGGACAUCAAGAACCCCGGCAGCGUCAACCAGGACCCCAUCUUCAAGAGCUACAGCCUGCCGCCGCACGAGUGCGGCUACCCCGGCAGCGUCUUCAACCCGCUCAACUUCGCGCCCACGCUCGAGGCCAAGGAGAAGGAGCUCGCCAACGGUGAGUUGCAUUGCAUUGCACCAUCUCAUCUCACCGCCGCCGGUCGUCGUCGGCCACUUCCGAUCCUUCUCUGACGUUAUUAAUUCUGCAGGGAGGCUGGCCAUGCUGGCGUUCCUGGCCUUCCUGAUCCAGCACAACGUCACCGGCAAGGGGCCCUUCGACAACCUGCUGCAGCACCUGUCCGACCCAUGGCACAACACCAUCAUCCAGACCCUGUCGGGUUGAGUCGACGGUCCAUCAGGUCAUGUGGUCCGAGCUGAAAGGCCGAGACUCGAAGACAGUUCGUGUGAUGCGUUCUUAAUCGACUGAGGGCUAAGGAAUGUGACGUACUGGUAUAUGUACAUUAGUUGAAGCGGAGGCUAUAAAGGGUGUAGAGAUUGUUUCAUCAGUGUAUAUCAUCUGUCCCGAUGGGUUUUGUUUUGUGCUUUUCACGAUUCAUUGUGGAAGCACAUGUAUUAUUAGUACAAGAACUG
rnacentral:lncRNA from 1 species